UCGAGCGGACAGAAGGGAGCUUGCUCCCGGAAGUCAGCGGCGGACGGGUGAGUAACACGUGGGCAACCUGCCCUGCAGAUUGGGAUAACUCCGGGAAACCGGGGCUAAUACCGAAUAACAUUGGAAACCUCAUGGUUUCCUUUUAAAAGGCGGCUUCGGCUGUCACUGCAGGAUGGGCCCGCGGCGCAUUAGCUAGUUGGUGAGGUAACGGCUCACCAAGGCGACGAUGCGUAGCCGACCUGAGAGGGUGAUCGGCCACACUGGGACUGAGACACGGCCCAGACUCCUACGGGAGGCAGCAGUAGGGAAUCUUCCGCAAUGGACGAAAGUCUGACGGAGCAACGCCGCGUGAGUGAAGAAGGUUUUCGGAUCGUAAAACUCUGUUGUCAGGGAAGAACAAGUACGGUAGUAACUGCCCGUACCUUGACGGUACCUGGCCAGAAAGCCACGGCUAACUACGUGCCAGCAGCCGCGGUAAUACGUAGGUGGCAAGCGUUG
rnacentral:rRNA from 1 species